CACAAUCUGAGCCGAAGGCGGAUGCUUAACCGACUGAGCCACCCAGGUGCCCUGUAGGUGCACCUUUUUUUGUCUGGUUCUUUCACUCAGCCUGAGAGCUUGGAGAGCUGCCCACAUUGUUGCAUGUAUCAACAGUUAAUUUUUAUUGCUGAAUUGUGUUUCACUGUGUACCAUAAAUUACUUAUCUGUUCACCUGUUGAUGGACAUUUCUGGCUAGGGCAGAUAAAGCUGCUAUGAACACGCGUUGUCUUCCUUUCUCUGGGAUGCUUACCUCGGAGCUGCAUGGCUGGGUCAUAUGGCAAGCGGACGUUUCACUUCUGGAGAAACUGCCCAGCCCGUUUCCAAAACAGAGGAGAGCAUCCUUGACAACACUGGGUACGGUCAGUCUUUUUUGUUUAGACGUCCUAGGAGGGGCGUAGCGCUAUCUCACUGUGGUUUUAAUUUGCACGUCUCAUGGCCGAUGAAGGGCUGCGCCGCGGUGCUGGGAGGAAGCCAGGCAGCAGCGGGCAGAGCUCACGUGUAGGGGUUCAGCCGACGACCAGCCUCCACUGCUGGACAGGUCAUGUAUUGCCAGGCAAAAUGCUCUGCCCCUCUGAGCCUGCUUCCUACCCUCCAAGCUGGGGUAACACCGUCUCUCAAACAGGUGAAGAAACUGAGUAACAAAUAACUUACCCAGGUUCAAGUAGCCAGCCAAAGCCAUGUGCUUGCUUCGGCAGCACAUAUACCAAAGCCAGAACAGGAUUAGAACCCACAUCUGCCUGAUUCCAGAACCCUUGGCCUUUCCUUGCACUUACUGUCUCGAUUCUGGACAUCCCACAUGUGACCAGUGGCCUCUGGUCAGAGCUCAGUUUCCUGACCAUGGCUACGCCACAGCCUUCUUCCUGUUGGCCCUACAGGAAUUCAACCCAAGUAUUCCAGAAACAACUACACUCUAAAAAAAAUUACAUAGCUGUGGGGCAGGGGUCGGCCUCUGUCACGGGGCUGGGCCCCAACAUUUUGCUCUCGGGGAACCUGGAUGGGGACGGGCAAAGACACGCCUCAGGUCAGCAGUGGCACAGGCUCUCCUGACUCCAAGUCACCCACUAAUGCUCUUCUCCCUGAAGACCCCACCCUUGCCAGGAACUGGAGAACAAACAACAAUAUAACACAUUGUCUCCAGGGCUUAUGAAUGUCCCUGCCUGAGGGGAAAAGAUGGAGCGAAGGGAAAAGCACUAGAUUCUUGUCAAAAAUGAGGAAAACCAAUGGUUAUUCCACAAGAAAGUCCUCAAGCUCACAGAGGAAGCCAACAAGCAGAGCCCCAUGGGACUCCGGGGAGGACAAAGAGCCAGCUCCAGACUCUGCUGUGCAUAUGUCAGCGGGUAGAAUGAGGCCAGGGAGGAUAUUAUGGGCAUAUUUUUUAGUCUUUCUGGAAAGUUUAGGUCUAGUCACUUAUCUGUGCCUGGUAAGAGACUCAGGAAACAAAGAGUUGCCUUUGGGGUAAAUCCCCAGCAGUGCAGUUGCUGGGUCUUAGGGCAGGUCUAUUUUAACUCUUUGAGGAACCUCCACACAGUUUUCCAG